GAGGGUAUAGCUCAGUGGUAGAGCAUGUGCUUAGCAUGCAUGAGGUCAUGGGUUCAAUACCCAGUACCUCCA
rnacentral:tRNA from 1 species